CGUGGUUCAUCUCCUUCGUCGUCAUCGACAUCGGGAGCUCCUCAUCAAUGAGUCCGGAUGAUCCCGGAAUGAAGACGUUGGUCUGAAAGAGAAUAAGAGUGUCUUUACGUUCGUUUCUCGACAGCUGCGACACAGAUCGUUCGAGGUGCUUCGAUGCAACAUUGUAUCCUGCUCAACCUGAAGCAAAACGACAAUCAUGAAAAAAUUCCAAAAAUGAAGAGUACGCUCGGAGAGGAUCAGUCGUUUCGUUUUAAAUUUGAGACAAAAGCGUGCAACGCGCUUAUCUUUCGGAUCUCGCGGUACUUCGAUGCUCACCUUAGGAUCAAUAUCGCAGCAUGGAUUCCGAUUCAAGAUAUCGCUGAAGAAGUUUGAAUAAUUGAACGAUGUCAGAAACGCUGAAUGACAAUGAAUUUGGAAAUAUUCAAAAGAUUAUUGAUUUUUUGGAUCUUCAAUACUUUAAUGGAAAAAGAAUUAAAAAAAAAUAAUUUAACGGAAAAAGAAUCGAAAAUCGAUACACCAGAGAUGCUGAGAUUUAAUAAGAACAGUCAGUGUUCGACAAUAUUAGACCGACGAUCACAAGCACGAAAUAUCAAAAUUAAUCUUACAAGCAGAGAAAACUUACAUAGUGUCAUCUUAACUCGGAUUUCACGAUACUUCAAUUGCUCACAAUGAUCUCAGGAUCAAAAUCGUAGCGUUAUUUCCAUAAAUUAUUGCUGCAGAAGUUUGGAUGGACUUGACGAAAUCGGAAAUGGUGCCAAAUGUUGCUUGAAAUACGUUGAUACCUGCAAAAUGGACUGCUAUAACUUUGUAUUCAAACGAUAUUAGGCAGGCUGGCUGGCGCCAUCUAGCAGCAUCAUGCGGAAAGAGUGUCAGCUAUAACUGUAGACCCGCUAUUUUUAAACUCGAUAUAUUUAGACCUGAUAUUUUCCUGAAAUAUAAAAUAUUAAUUAAUA